AAACUAGGAUUAGAUACCCUAUUAUUAAGAAAAAUUAUAUUGUUAGUAUAUAAAUUGUAUGAAAACAAAAAAUUAUGGCGGUAUUUUAAGCUUUUCAGAGGAAUUUGCUCUUUAAUGGAUAAAACACCUAAAUCUUACUAAAUUUAGUUAAGCAGUUUGUAUACCACUAUUUAAGUAAUAAUUUGCUAUUAUUACUAAAAUUUAUAUUAAUUAAAAAAAGUUAAGUCAAGGUGCAGCAUAAAUUUUAGUAUGAAGUGAAUUACAUUUCUUUUAAGAAAAAUUUGUUGAAAAUAAAAUUUAGGAUUUGAAAGUAAAAUUUUAAUAGAAGGAAAAUUUGAAUUAAGCUCUAAAAUAUGUACACAUCGCCCGUCGCUCUCAUU
rnacentral:rRNA from 1 species